rnacentral:rRNA from 1 species
UGGGGAAUCUUGGACAAUGGGCGAAAGCCUGAUCCAGCAAUACCGCGUGUGUGAAGAAGGCCUUAGGGUUGUAAAGCACUUUCGGUGGGGAGGAGGUUAACUUUCUUUAAUAAAGAAAGUUGAUGACGUUACCCACAGAGGAAGCACCGGCUAACUCUGUGCCAGCAGCCGCGGUAAUACAGAGGGUGCAAGCGUUAAUCGGAAUUACUGGGCGUAAAGAGUGAGUAGGUGGUAAAUUAAGUUGUGUGUGAAAUCUUUAAGCUUAACAUAAAAACUGUAUAUAAUACUGAAUUACUAGAGUACUGUAGAGGGUAGUGGAAUUUCCGGUGUAGCGGUAAAAUGCGUAGAUAUCGGAAGGAACACCAGUGGCGAAGGCGGCUGCCUGGACAGAUACUGACACUAAUACACGAAAGCGUGGGCAGCAAACA